rnacentral:rRNA from 1 species
AGAGUUUGAUCCUGGCUCAGAACGAACGCUGGCGGCGUGCCUAACACAUGCAAGUCGAACGUGAUUGGAAGCUUGCUUCCAUGAAAGUGGCGCACGGGUGAGUAACGCGUAGAUAAUCUACCUGAUGAUCCGGGAUAACACUUCGAAAGGGGUGCUAAUACCUGAUAAGCCCACGGGGUCUUCGGACUCUGCGGGAAAAGGGGGGGACCUUCGGGCCUUCCGUCAUCAGAUGAGUCUGCGUACCAUUAGCUAGUUGGUAGGGUAAAGGCCUACCAAGGCGACGAUGGUUAGCUGGUCUGAGAGGAUGAUCCGCCACACUGGAACUGGAACACGGACCAGACUCCUACGGGAGGCAGCAGUGAGGAAUAUUGCGCAAUGGGGGCAACCCUGACGCAGCGACGCCGCGUGGAUGAUGAAGGCCUUCGGGUCGUAAAAUCCUGUCAAGUGGAAAGAAGUGCAUAGUGGUUAAUACCUGCUAUGUUUGACGGUACCACUGAAGGAAGCACCGGCUAACUCCGUGCCAGCAGCCGCGGUAAUACGGAGGGUGCAAGCGUUGUUCGGAAUUACUGGGCGUAAAGCGCGCGUAGGCGGUUUUACAAGUCAGAUGUGAAAGCCCAUGGCUCAACCAUGGACGUGCAUUUGAAACUGUAAGACUUGAGUAUUGGAGGGGGUGGUGGAAUUCCCGGUGUAGAGGUGAAAUUCGUAGAUAUCGGGAGGAAUACCAGUGGCGAAGGCGACCACCUGGCCAAAUACUGACGCUCAUGUGCGAAAGCGUGGGGAGCAAACAGGAUUAGAUACCCUGGUAGUCC